rnacentral:rRNA from 1 species
AUUGAACGCUGGCGGCAUGCUUUACACAUGCAAGUCGAGCGGCAGCGCGGGGGCAACCCUGGCGGCGAGCGGCGAACGGGUGAGUAACAUAUCGGAACGUACCCAGUCGUGGGGGAUAACUAUCCGAAAGGAUAGCUAAUACCGCAUACGACCUGAGGGUGAAAGCGGGGGACCGUAAGGCCUCGCGCGAUUGGAGCGGCCGAUAUCGGAUUAGCUAGUUGGUGAGGUAAAGGCUCACCAAGGCGACGAUCCGUAGCUGGUCUGAGAGGACGACCAGCCACACUGGAACUGAGACACGGUCCAGACUCCUACGGGAGGCAGCAGUGGGGAAUUUUGGACAAUGGGGGCAACCCUGAUCCAGCCAUUCCGCGUGAGUGAAGAAGGCCUUCGGUUGUAAGCUCUUUCUAGCAGGAACGAAACGGU